rnacentral:tRNA from 1 species
AACCAAAUAAAUCAGUGGUUAGAGCGUAGGUUACGUAAACGAAAGGUUGCGGGAUCGAAUCCCGCUAGAGGCA